rnacentral:lncRNA from 1 species
GGCUCUUGAUCUAUCAAUAAAGAUGCCAGCUAGUCAGCCCGCACCCUACCAUCCAGCCCCUGUAGGCCUCCCAGCCUGUAGUACAUGUCUAGGGUCAGUAACCCCUGACUGCCUCCAUGCUGGCUGUAUCCCUCUCCCCCCAGGAGCAGAAGCAGAUGCUGGGGGAGCAUCUGUUCCCACUUAUCCAAACAAUGCAUUCAAACCUGACUGGGAAAAUCACCGGGAUGCUGCUGGAAAUGGACAACUCUGAGCUGCUGCACAUGCUGGAGUCCCCUGAGUCUCUCCGUUCUAAGGUGGAUGAAGAAGCUGUGGCAGUCCUACAGGCUCAUCAUGUCAAGAAAGAAGCUGCCCAGAGGUGGGCACUGUUGCUCCUGCUACCUCUUAG